AUGAACGCUAGCUACAGGCUUAACCCAUGCCAGUCGAGGGGAAACGAUGAGAGAGCUUGCUCUCUUAGUCGUCGACCGGCGCACGGGUGAGUAACGCGUAUCCAACCUGCCUCUGACCAAGGGAUAACCCGUCGAAAGUCGGACUAAUACCUUAUGCAGUCGUCGGAAGUCAUCUGAUGACGACGAAAGAUUUCAUCGGUGAGAGAUGGGGAUGCGUCUGAUUAGCUUGUUGGCGGGGUAACGGCCCACCAAGGCGACGAUCAGUAGGGGUUCUGAGAGGAAGGUCCCCCACAUUGGAACUGAGACACGGUCCAAACUCCUACGGGAGGCAGCAGUGAGGAAUAUUGGUCAAUGGGCGUAAGCCUGAACCAGCCAAGUAGCGUGCAGGAUGACGGCCCUAUGGGUUGUAAACUGCUUUUAUGCGGGGAUAAAGUGAGGGACGUGCCCUUCAUUGCAGGUACCGCAUGAAUAAGAACCGGCUAAUUCCGUG
rnacentral:rRNA from 1 species